AUUAUUGAUAUUAUUUUUAUUUUUUGAAAACAAACCAGAAGAAAGACUCAGUUAGAGAGUUAGAGCCAGUAAGAGACGGAGAGAGAGAGAGAGAGAGAGAGAGAGAGAGAGAGUAUUACUAUUGAUUCGGAACACUCAACAAAAUAUUCUCUUUUCGGCUCGCUUCUGUCAUAGUUUCUCUUAACCAUCCAUUCAUCAUCGUCAUCAUCAGUCGCCGUCGUCAAUGAGGCAGAGCGAUGUGGAGGCCGGGCCUAAUACUAAGGUGGAUGUGCACCAAGACCAUCACCCUCAUCAUAAUGAAUCCGAUGAUCCCUUUGAUAUUGCUCACACCAAAAAUGCUCCUCUUGAGACUCUUAGGCGUUGGAGGCAAGCAGCCCUUGUGCUCAAUGCUUCUCGUCGGUUCCGAUACACUUUGGACUUGAAAAAGGAAGAAGAGAAACAACAAAGAAGACGAAUGAUUAGAGCCCAUGCUCAAGUCAUAAGAGCUGCAUUGCUUUUCAAAUUGGCUGGGGAGCGACAAAUUGUGAUAGAUCCCACGGUUGCAACUCCAACUCCCUAUGGUGAUUAUGCAAUUGGACUAGAACAACUUGCUUCAAUGACCAGGGAUCAAAAUCUUUCUGCGCUACAACAGUAUGGAGGUGCUAAAGGGUUAUCUAGUAUGUUGAAAACAAAUUUGGAAACUGGAAUCCAUGGUGAUGAAGAUGACUUAAUAAAGCGAAAGAGUGCAUUUGGUGCAAAUACAUAUCCUAGGAAGAAAGGACGUAGUUUAUUGAGGUUCUUGUGGGAAGCGUGGCAAGAUGUAACCCUCAUCAUCUUGAUUAUAGCGGCCAUAGCAUCAUUGGCACUGGGAAUUAAAACAGAGGGACCAGAAGAAGGAUGGUAUGAUGGGGCAAGCAUUGCUUUUGCUGUUAUUCUUGUUAUAGUUGUUACAGCUGUUAGUGACUAUCGUCAAUCUCUCCAGUUUCAAAAUUUAAAUGAGGAAAAGCAAAAUAUACAGCUAGAGGUCAUGAGAGGUGGCAGAACAUUGAAAAUUUCAAUAUUUGAUAUUGUUGUUGGUGAUGUUGUCCCUCUUACAAUAGGUGAUCAGGUCCCUGCUGAUGGAAUCUUAAUCACUGGUCAUUCCCUUGCCCUAGAUGAAUCCAGCAUGACGGGUGAAAGCAAGAUCGUUCACAAGGAUUAUAAGGCACCAUUUUUGAUGUCUGGUUGCAAAGUAGCUGAUGGUGUUGGCACUAUGCUGGUAACGGGUGUUGGAAUAAAUACUGAAUGGGGAUUGUUGAUGGCAAGUAUCUCAGAGGACACUGGUGAAGAGACUCCCUUGCAGGUACGUUUGAAUGGAGUUGCUACUUUUAUUGGGAUUGUUGGUCUUUCAGUAGCUGUUUCUGUUCUUGCUGUCCUUUUGGGCCGUUACUUUACUGGAAACACAAGGAACUCAAAUGGAGAUGUUCAGUUUGUCAAAGGCGAGACCAAGAUCAGCGAGGCGAUAGAUGGAGUGAUUAAAAUUGUUACCAUUGCUGUCACUAUUGUUGUUGUUGCUGUGCCAGAGGGGCUUCCUUUGGCUGUUACCCUGACACUGGCAUAUUCUAUGCGGAAGAUGAUGGCAGAUAAAGCCUUGGUUCGUCGGCUUUCAGCAUGUGAAACUAUGGGCUCGGCUACAACAAUAUGCAGUGAUAAGACUGGGACAUUAACUCUGAACCAGAUGACUGUAGUUGAGGCUUAUGUUGGAAAAAAGAAGAUGAUCCCAGCAGAUGACUCUGCACAGUUACAUUCUGAGGUUAGCUCUUUGUUGUGCGAGGGUGUUGCACAGAACAGCACGGGAAGUGUUUUUGUGCCUAAGGAUGGUGGAGAUGUUGAGAUUUCUGGAUCUCCUACUGAAAAGGCUAUCCUUUCUUGGGCUGUCAAGUUGGGGAUGAAGUUUGAUAGCAUCAGAUCACAGUCAAAAGUUCUUCAGGUUUUCCCUUUCAACUCGGAGAAAAAGCGAGGCGGUGUUGCAAUACAAAGGACUGACUCUAAAGUUCAUAUCCAUUGGAAGGGAGCAGCAGAGCUAGUUCUUGCCUCAUGUACAAGAUAUAUGGACUCAAAUGGGUCUGUGCAAUCCAUUGAUGAAGAUAAGGAUUUUCUGAAGGCUGCAAUUGACGACAUGGCAGCAAGCAGCUUGCGCUGUGUUGCUAUUGCAUAUAGAUCAAUUGUUUUGGAGAAAGUUCCUGCUGAUGAAGAAGGCUUAGACAAAUGGGUUUUACCUGAAGAUGAUCUUGUUUUGCUUGCUAUUGUUGGCAUUAAGGAUCCUUGUCGUCCAGGUGUAGAAAAUGCAGUAAGAGUAUGCACAGAAGCUGGUGUUAAGGUAAGAAUGGUCACUGGAGACAAUCUUCAAACAGCAAAAGCAAUAGCUUUGGAGUGUGGGAUUCUUAAAUCAAAUGCAGAUGCUACUGAGCCUAACAUCAUUGAAGGGAAGGUUUUUCGAGUGUAUUCUGAAAAGGAAAGAGAAUUAAUUGCCAAGAAAAUAACGGUGAUGGGGAGGUCAUCUCCUAAUGACAAGCUUUUAUUGGUUCAAGCUUUACGCAAGGGAGGAGAAGUUGUGGCUGUGACAGGAGAUGGCACAAAUGAUGCUCCUGCACUUCAUGAGGCAGACAUAGGCCUCUCUAUGGGAAUUCAAGGGACUGAAGUUGCAAAAGAAAGCUCGGAUAUCAUCAUCUUGGAUGACAAUUUUGCUUCUGUUGUAAAGGUUGUAAGAUGGGGCCGUUCUGUUUAUGCCAAUAUUCAGAAAUUUAUCCAGUUCCAACUUACUGUUAAUGUUGCUGCUCUUGUUAUCAAUGUCGUAGCAGCAGUCUCUUCUGGUGAUGUUCCUUUAAAUGCUGUACAGCUUCUAUGGGUGAAUCUUAUCAUGGAUACACUUGGAGCACUUGCAUUGGCUACCGAACCACCGACAGACCACCUCAUGCAUAGAUCUCCAGUUGGUCGAAGGGAACCUCUUAUAACAAAUAUCAUGUGGAGGAACUUACUCAUACAGGCUUUGUAUCAAGUAGGUGUUCUCCUUGUGCUCAACUUCUGGGGCAAGACUAUUCUCCAUUUGGAUGAUGAGGAGACAGAACAUGCUACAGACGUAAAGAAUACUAUGAUAUUCAAUGCAUUUGUGCUCUGUCAAAUAUUCAAUGAGUUCAAUGCUCGAAAGCCGGAUGAAAUCAAUGUCUUUAGUGGAGUCACCAAAAACCGCUUGUUUAUUGGAAUUGUUGGUUUUACCUUCAUAUUGCAGAUAAUCCUCAUCGAGUUUGCUGGAAAAUUUACCUCAACUGUGAGACUUAAUUGGACAUUAUGGCUUGCAUCCCUUGCUAUUGCCUUUGUCAGUUGGCCUCUUGCCGCAGUCGGAAAACUUCUUCCAGUUCCCAAAACUCCAUUGUCUGUGUACUUUGUUAAGCCAUUUCGACGAUGGAGAACUCGUCAAAGUACAUAAAAUUUCUAUACUCCGCAGGCAAUAUCCUUUGACUUGAGAGGUCAACUCGUGGCUUUUAGCAUAUACCUGAUGCAGCAAAGCUCUGCUACUAACCCGUUUGACACAAUUUAUUGGAAAUGAUGCUCCAUUUUUCCUUGGUAAGUGAUGAAAGGUUUGCACAAGCAACCUAGCUUGUGCAGCCUCUGAGACAAAAAAGGUUGCAGCUACUUUCUGUUUUCUUCAACACUUUCCCUCAAGGUGGGUUCGAAUAAGUAUAUAUCGAGCCCAUCUUACUAAGAAUCGAGUGAUGAUUUUGAUUGUCAAGAGAUUUUGUGAAUAUGUCUGCCAACUGAUCUUGACUCUUAAUAUAAGGUGUUUUAAUUUCUCAUUUCUGGACUUUUUCUUUGAUAAAGUGGCAGUCCACUUCGAUGUACUUAGUUCGCUCGUGAAAUACUGGAUUAGACGCUAUGUGACGGACAACUUGGUUAUCGCAAUGCAUUUUCAUAGGUUUUUUGCUUUCAA